AUUUUUGGUGAUCUCUCUCGAACCUUCCGGGGGAUUCUGCAAACGUCGAUACAUACAAUGACCCGUUGAUAUAUGGAGCUUUCUCUGCUGCUAUCUGAUUAAUUUUGUAACCUCUCUUUUGUACCAACGGAGUCAACUAAUUGUUACCACUCGAAUCUUCUUGUUGUGUUUAUGGAGCCUUUCUCGACUCUGCGAUUCGGCUCAUUUGACGGCAGAUAGUAAACAAUGAAGAAAAUGCUUCAAAAGAGGAUGGAGGUCAAAGGCUCUAAUUGAUGCGUGCCGGAAACAGGGUGUUCAGAUGUAUAUUCCUUCUGCUCAACAGGAUCGUCCACCUUAUACAUCAACAAGUUUCCAGACUAGCACAAUAACUUCCCAAGCUUACAUGGUCCAUCUGGGGUAUUCGUCAGUCACAAAUCAGUUAGGUCAGCCUGACUCCAAUAUAUAUGCGCAUUUGUCCCCAUUUCCAGUUCCACCUAGUGCAAUACCACAUUCAGGCCAUUCUUACUCAAUUCUAUCCCCAGUAUUACAUUUGAAUGGAAGCACCGAACUGAUGCAUCUUUCCCAAGUGCUCAACGGGAUCCUCAAUGGACUCAAAAUGUAUAUCAGAUUCCAUCUCAUAUUCCUCAAUCUUCACCACUUUCACCUGGACAAGGAUCUUCCAGAGGCCUAGUUUGGCUACCAUCUCCUGCUGGGGUGAGGGGUGUUCAACCUACUUCACAACCGUACCUACCCCUAUCAUCUCCCAUGAUGUAUGCACAUGCUUUGGGACCAGUUGCACAUACAUCGUCAGCCCUAGUCCUGUCUCUUCCAACUCUACCUCCUCAAGUACCUGCACCCCUUCCACCUUCCUCUCUACUAGGCGCGCCCUAUGCUUGUGUAAAUCAUUCUGCUAUUCUCCUUCCUUCCACUCACAUUAAUCAAUAUUCGUUCAAUCCAAGUUCAAGACCAGGCCUUCUUGAUAGUAUGAGAAACACAGGUGUAUCUCUUUUAAAUACUGAUUCAGACGUUGAUAUGGAAGGUACAUGCACUACAUUGUGCCUUUCUCUACUCUGCGAUUCGGCUCACUUGACCGCAGAUAGUAAACAAUGAAGAAAAUGCUUCAAAAGAGGAUGGAGGUCAAAGACUCUAAUUAGGUAUUCUAAUUAGGGUUUGAAAAAGGUAUGGAUACGAGGGGGAGCAGUAGGUUUUGUGUGGAUAAGGGGAGCAAAUCUGCUAACAGGGCAGCAUGGAACGCGCAAAAAAAGUACAGCCGUUAUAUAGGCCAUGUUCUUUUUUCCCUUCUGCGGCUACUUUAAAAUCUCAGCCCUCCACUCAUUCAUGCAACGGUUCUGAUUCAUUUGUUACUUAAACUCUAAUUUCGUCUGUUUACAACAGACCUGCUCUCUCUAUGUGUAGGAUGACUCUUUUUUAAUGAUGUGAUCAUUUCAACAUUCUAAAUUCUUAAUCUGUUUAAAUACUUAAUAACUUAAAAGUACUUAUUGUGUUUGAUAGAACAUUAAAGACUAAUGAUGGCUCACCCCGCCAGUCAAUUGAUUCACCUUCCAAGGCAUGUGUUUGUGUCCGCCCUGUUUUCUGAGGGGCUGACUAGUCAAUGGUUAGUUGUCAACUUGUUGUGAAAUUAGAUUGUCUCGUAUUCCUUAUAAUUUCUGUGAUAUAUAAAUAAGACUGCUUUGGUGACAUAAGUGUCCACUCUGCAAUCUGGAUUUCCGUCAUUCGGAAGAAAGCAGUCGAGAAUGCGUUCCUUGCAGGGAGAAAUCAACCCACCGGUAGAUUUUUGACAGUCUUGUAGAGACAUAAUCUUGAAGCGAGAUGGUUUGCAAUUUUUUAUUAAUGAUUCUGCUAAUGUGUCAUAUAUUCUGUGGCUGGUCUAAGAUUUUUCGCUUCUUUGUGUAUAUAGAUGCAUGCACUUACUCUAGUGCUAGUUGACAUUUGUCAUGUAUGCCUUGUAUUACUCAUAUGAUUAAUUGUGUUUCUUGAAUCAUAUGAACAAAAAUAUCCGGGACUUGUAAUUUUUUUCAAAGUGGUGCCAAUAAAUACUGAAGACACAAACUCUGUGCUUGUAGAUGAUAUGACUCAUAUUAAUGAGGAACAGGUCAUUCACGCGAACCUAGAUGAACCAGAGAUGCAGGAUCACCCUGCAGAUGAUCGUUUCUAUGUACAAGUCGAUGAGCCUGCAGAUGACAGUCCUCCGCUGUUAAGCAACGAGUCAAAUUCGAUAAGCGGAGAAGAAUCUUAUAAUUAGUAUAUUCACAGUGAUAGAAACUCCGCUGCUCCGGAUGUUAAGAUUAGUGCAAUCAAAGCAGAUGAAAGAAACAAGAAUGGAAGCUUUGAUUCAGGAAAACAUUUCAAGGCUGCAGUAACUAAAUUUAUUAAAAAGGUCCUCAAACCUUUUUGGCGAAAUUGUGCCUUGGCAAGGGUGGUUUUCAAGAUUAUAGUCCGGAAAGCUGUUAAUAAGGGCUUGGGUUCUCUGAAACCACACCAUAUACCAAAUUCACAAUUGCAGAUCAACCGCUACAUUGAAUUGUAGCGGAGUAAAUUGACCGCUCUUGUGAUGGACGGACUCAGCGCUGCAAAGUGAUUAAAGACAGCAAAUCAGCAGUACAGUUACCAGCAGGCUAGAGAUCAAAGACAGCAAAUCGGCAGUACCGUUACCAGCAUCUCUAGCCUGCCGGAACUUCUGAUUUAAUAUAAGACGGGGACGCCUAAGUACCUGUUUUGAGCUUCAGUGCUAAAAUUGGGCUACAGUAAUUUGUAUGGUUCAAUGAUCAUACAAGUUCAAGAGAUGGUCCAGUUCAAAUGAUCAUACAAGCUGUUCAAGAGAUGGUACAGAGGUACAAGUUUGAGCUUCAAGUUUCAUUAAGAAGAAAUAGGUCUGAAGUUAUAAUAAGACAUUGAUCAGCGGAACUGCUGGAAGGUGUUUCUUUCCUGGCGAUACUCAUAAUUUGAAGAAUGUUCAUUAGGUGAUAGUUUCAUACUUUAGAAUACGGCAUUAUUAGUGGAUGAGGAAUCCCUUGAAGAUAAGAUCCCAAAUCUUAAUCUUGCUUCAGGGGGUCGCAUUAAUAAAAAACACUAACAGGGGUCAACCUCCAGUUGGACAGUAAUCACAUGCAAGGAAGAUGCAUCUGCUGUUCUCUCUUUUACUUGCCUCCGCAGAUAAAGAGCAGGUGAGUCUGCUUGUUGCAACAGAAGAGCCUCUCCCACCGGGAAGGAAACAAGAGGUUGAUUUUCCCCCAAGUAGACAAAUAGGGAUUGAUGUAAUUUAUAACCCUUAUGAAUAUGGAUGUGAUAGAUGUAUUCCAGUAUCAUGUAUAAUGAUAUUCACAAUGUCGUAUGGGAAAUCUCAAUCACAUGUGUUCAUAAGC